UACGAAGGGGCUAGCGUUGCUCGGAAUCACUGGGCGUAAAGCGCACGUAGGCGGGUCGUUAAGUCGGAGGUGAAAUCCUGGAGCUCAACUCCAGAACUGCCUUCGAUACUGUAGAGCUUGAGUUCGGGAGAGGUGAGUGGAACUGCGAGUGUAGAGGUGAAAUUCGUAGAUAUUCGCAAGAACACCAGUGGCGAAGGCGGCUCACUGGCCCGAUACUGACGCUGAGGUGCGAAAAGCGUGGGGAGCAAACAGGG
rnacentral:rRNA from 1 species